rnacentral:misc_RNA from 1 species
GAUGAAGAACGUAGCGAAAUGCGAUAAGUAGUGUGAAUUGCAGAAUUCCGUGAAUCAUCGAAUCUUUGAACGCACAUUGCGCCUUCUGGUAUUCCGGAAGGCAUGCCUGUUCGAGAGUCAUUAACAACCGUUUCGAUCCCUUUCUUUCAGAAAUUACAAAGAGGAAAAGGGUUUGGUUAUGGUGGAGGAGGGAAAGGGAGCGUUUAGCCUGUAAAAAAAGAGGCUGUGUUCCGCCUCCCCCCGAAAAUUGUACAGGCGGUCGUGUGCGCCCACGCAUCGAGGUGUUGUAAAAGCUGCCACGGCACUUUUCACCUGUGCAGUGCGAGAUUGGCCAGCCGGUUUAAAAACCCCUCCAAACAAUCAAAGGUUGACCUCGGAUCAGGUAGGGAUACCCGCUGAACUUAAGCAUAUCAAUAAGCGGAGGA